CACACCAUCUGAUGGUACCCUGCAACACAGCUGUCGUCAAUAACCCAGUGAUGUGGAUACUAAACGCCCAUAUUAUGUGAACGAAGGGUAGACAUCUACAAUUAAUUUCAUGUGUUGGAGGGAUCAAAAAUUAAAUAACCGGAGAUAAUUUGUGUGUCUCUAUGGACUAUCUGACGGAGGCUACAGGAAGGAUCGAGUGUGGUUUGCUUCUUCUUGAGUCGAGCAAGCGACCGCGAAAACAAAACUACUGACUGAAGAAACAACCACAGCCACGACAGCAGCCAUUACACAAGCCUAACUGUGCUUUGACGUCGUUUUCCGUUGCACUGUCACUGUGCUGUUGGGGCGCUCAAUUGAUUUGAAUCAUCUGAUCACUCAAAGAAUCAGCACAGCUAUGUACAAGAGUCUGGAGAUUGCCAUUUUUGGCUUUGAGAGCAGUGAUUUUACAGGCAUUGUGUGUGAAAACCCAGGUAGAGCUUUGGUGAAGGGCUGAACUGGGUCAGCUGUGCCUUGAUCACUCUGCUUGGCCAACAGAAAUGCUUUGAAGCACUGGAUUUCUGCUACCACAGUGCAGAAAGUGGAUGCAUGGUGCAGAUGCAUACAUUAACGGCAUGGCCUUUGGCAUCUGCAAGUACCAGACUCUGAACAACCAAAUCGUCUCUGUAUUGAACAAGUACCUGAAGGCAAACGAGAGUGACACCACGCCUGUGGAGAAAAUCCGUUGCUAUCAGCCACCAAUUCAUCAGUCAGUCAUUGAUGGAGGAAUGUAAAAACAGAAAUGAUGGAAGACUGAAGAGGCAUGAGGGAAGCAGUACUUGGAAACGAAGCUUCAAAACAGGAUUUAAACUGAAAAACAAGGCAUCUUAGGUAAGAUAUAUUGAAGAAUGUGUCCAUAAGACACACACAUUUAUAUGCCCAUCUGCCUUCAUAUGAAGUAUGGAGGGGAAAGUUCGUAGUUCAAUUUAUUUCCACUCAAGCAUUUAUAACAACAAAAUAAUAUUGCAGGACCGGAAACUUAAUAGAUUAGGUGGGGGGGUCUCUUAACAGCAAGCUUGUUGGUUUGAUGAAGACCCCCAAGUUUGUGUACAUACAUACGUAUCUGUGAGAAAGAACAAUGCAAACAAGACUGAGAUCAUUGAAAGAACACAAACUAGUUACACAUGAAAAGACAAGGACAAAACACUCUAUUUAUUCUUACCCCUAAAGAAUUGCA